UGGGGAAUUUUGGACAAUGGGGGCAACCCUGAUCCAGCAAUGCCGCGUGUGUGAAGAAGGCCUUCGGGUUGUAAAGCACUUUUGUCCGGAAAGAAAUCCUCUGGGUUAAUACCUCGGGGGGAUGACGGUACCGGAAGAAUAAGCACCGGCUAACUACGUGCGAGCAGCCGCGGUAAUACGUAGGGUGCGAGCGUUAAUCGGAAUUACUGGGCGUAAAGCGUGCGCAGGCGGUUGUGCAAGACAGAUGUGAAAUCCCCGGGCUCAACCUGGGAAUUGCAUUUGUGACUGCACGGCUAGAGUGUGUCAGAGGGGGGUAGAAUUCCACGUGUAGCAGUGAAAUGCGUAGAGAUGUGGAGGAAUACCGAUGGCGAAGGCAGCCCCCUGGGAUAACACUGACGCUCAUGCACGAAAGCGUGGGGAGCAAAC
rnacentral:rRNA from 1 species